rnacentral:rRNA from 1 species
UACGGGGGGUGCGAGCGUUGUCCGGAAUUAUUGGGCGUAAAGAGCUUGUAGGCGGUUUGUCGCGUCUGCCGUGAAAAUCCGAGGCUCAACCUCGGACUUGCGGUGGGUACGGGCAGACUAGAGUGUGGUAGGGGAGACUGGAAUUCCUGGUGUAGCGGUGAAAUGCGCAGAUAUCAGGAGGAACACCGAUGGCGAAGGCAGGUCUCUGGGCCACUACUGACGCUGAGAAGCGAAAGCAUGGGGAGCGAACAGG